ACCCGCUGAACUUAAGCAUAUCAAUAAGCGGAGGAAAAGAAACCAACAGGGAUUGCUUUAGUAACGGCGAGUGAAGCGGCAAAAGCUCAAAUUUGAAAUCGGCCCCCAAGUCGAGUUGUAAUUUGUAGAUUGUAUCUUGAGAGCGGAUUAAAGUCUGUUGGAACACAGCGCCUUAGAGGGUGACAGCCCCGUAAAAUCUAUUCUCAUUGUAAGAUACUUUCGAAGAGUCGAGUUGUUUGGGAAUGCAGCUCUAAGUGGGAGGUAAAUUCCUUCUAAAGCUAAAUAUUGACGAGAGACCGAUAGCGAACAAGUACUGUGAAGGAAAGAUGAAAAGCACUUUGAAAAGAGAGUGAAAAAGUACGUGAAAUUGUUAAAAGGGAAGGGUAUUGAAUUAGACUUGGUGCUGUUGUUCAACUGUGUUUCGGCAUAGUGUACUCAGCAGUACUAGGCCAAGGUGGGGUGUUUGGGAGUGAAAAAGAAGUAGGAAGGUAACCCUUCGGAGUGUUAUAGCCUACUUUCAUAGCUCCUCAGGCGCCUCAGGACUGCGCUUCGGCAAGGACCUUGGCAUAAUGAUUCUAUACCGCCCGUCUUGAAACACGGAGCAAGGAG
rnacentral:rRNA from 1 species